rnacentral:rRNA from 1 species
UGGGGAAUAUUGGACAAUGGGCGAAAGCCUGACGCAGCGACGCCGCGUGAGUGAUGAAGGCCUUCGGGUUGUAAAGCUCUGUGGGGAGAGAAGAAUAAGUGCGGGCUAAUACCCCGCAUGAUGACGGUAUCUCCUUAGCAAGCACCGGCUAACUCUGUGCCAGCAGCCGCGGUAAGACAGAGGGUGCAAACGUUGUUCGGAAUUACUGGGCGUAAAGCGAGUGUAGGCGGUUUGGUAAGUCGGAUGUGAAAGCCCCGGGCUCAACCCGGGAAGUGCAUUCGAUACUGCCAAGCUAGAGUAUCGGAGAGGUUGGUGGAAUUCUCGGUGUAGAGGUGAAAUUCGUAGAUAUCGAGAGGAACACCGGUGGCGAAGGCGGCCAACUGGACGAAUACUGACGCUGAGACUCGAAAGCGUGGGGAGCAAACAGGAUUAGAUACCCACGUAGUCCCUGAGCGGGCUGGCAAGGCGCAU